AGAGAGAGACAUGCGCGCAUAUCAAUAAGCGGAGGAAAAGAAACUAACUAGGAUUCCCUCAGUAACGGCGAGUGAAGCGGGAAGAGCUCAAAUUUGAAAUCUUCAAGGUUCUACCUUGACGAAUUGUAGUUUAAAGAAGUGUUUUCUGUUGGAGUUUUGGUAAAAGUUCUUUGGAAUAGGACAUCAUAGAGGGUGAGAAUCCCGUAUUUGACCAUUACUUUCCAACUUUGUGAUACACUUUCAAAGAGUCGGAUUGUUUGGGAAUGCAGUCCAAAAUGGGUGGUAAAUUUCAUCUAAAGCUAAAUAUUGGCGAGAGACCGAUAGCGAACAAGUACCGUGAGGGAAGGAUGAAAAGAACUUUGAAAAGAGAGUUAAACAGUACGUGAAAUUGUCAAAAGGGAAGCGUUUGACACCAGUGUUGUUUUCUCGAAAAUCAAUUAAAAAAGGCAGGAUUUUGUGUUGUAUUGACUUUAUCAGCUUUCUGCACUCUUUUCUUGUCUUUUUUAAUGCACUUUUCGUUUAACAAGUCAACAUCAGUUUCUUUUGUUGUAAAAGGGUCAUUGGAAGGUGGCUUUCUUUUCGGAGAAAGUGUUUAUAGCCUUUGGCCUCUGCAAUCGGAGAGAUUGAGGUCUGCAGCGUAGAUCCUUCGGGGUUAAAUGACAUUUGUGCUAAGUUAUAGCAUUUUAUAGACAACUUGUUGACUAUGAUUAGUCUUGUAGCUUACUCGCUUAUGCUAUUUUACCUACGCUUAGGAUGUUGAUGUGAUACUGCGAGC
rnacentral:rRNA from 1 species